UUGUCUAGAAAUUAAAAAAAAAAAAAACUCAUACAAACAUUUUUUCCAUAUACAUAGUCUUCCCCGACGGAUUUCUUACUUCUUAGAAUUGCUGUUUUCUUUAAAAUGGCAGCUUCGACAAAUCGCAUGGUUCGUUUACAGGGUGGCAAUUGGGAGGAAACGCAUUUUCGUUUGCUUGUGUGCGUUUUUGUCGAUUUACGUGUGAAUAUGUGUGCGUUCCUAACGAAGUCACGGCUGUGUGUUUUAAUAUCAAACCAGAACAAGAAGGGCAAGUCAAGCCAAAAGAAGGACCUUUUUUUAUUUGUGUUGUUUCCCAUCGUGCGUUCGGUGCCUGCAAAGGAUAAAAACGAAUGUAUGUAUUUGUGUGCGUUUGAACAUUUUUUUGUUUUUGUCGAAUUCUUUGUAACCAUUGUUGUUGUUGGCUUUUUGCUUUGACUUGAAAUUCCAUUCGUAUAGUUUA